GGGACACUCACCUCUGCCCAGAUAUGCACAGGUACAAUCUGACAGCUUGGAGGUUGAUCAGUUCCUUCCCAAAAUAGAAGGGCUUUCAGAGUCGGUCCUGAGAACAUUGUUCACAUUCAAGAGCAGAAUCUACUAAGAAAGCUUACUCCAGAAUCAUGAG